AGAACGAACGCUGGCGGCAGGCUUAACACAUGCAAGUCGAACGGUUGUAGCAAUACAGCAGUGGCAGACGGGUGAGUAACACGUGGGAACCUUCCUAGGGGUACGGAACAACUCAGGGAAACUUGAGCUAAUACCGUAUACGUCCGUGAGGAGAAAGUUUUAACGCCCCUAGACGGGCCCGCGUAGGAUUAGGUAGUUGGUGAGGUAACGGCUCACCAAGCCUACGAUCCUUAGCUGAUCUGAGAGGAUGAUCAGCCACACUGGGACUGAGACACGGCCCAGACUCCUACGGGAGGCAGCAGUGGGAAUCUUGGACAAUGGGCGCAAGCCUGAUCCAGCCAUGCGCGUGAGUGAAGAAGGCCUUGGUGUAAAGCUCUUUUACCAGGGACGAUAAUGACGGUACCUGGAGAAUAAGACCCGGCAAACUUCGUGCCAGCAGCCGC
rnacentral:rRNA from 1 species